GAUGAACGCUGGCGGCGUGCUUAACACAUGCAAGUCGAACGGAAAGGCCCAAGCUUGCUUGGGUACUCGAGUGGCGAACGGGUGAGUAACACGUGGGUGAUCUGCCCUGCACUUCGGGAUAAGCCUGGGAAACUGGGUCUAAUACCGGAUAGGACCACUUCCUGGAUGUUGUGGGGGAAAGUUUUUUCGGUGUGGGAUGAGCUCUCGGCCUAUCAGCUUGUUGGUGGGGUGAUGGCCUACCAAGGCGUCGACGCGUAGCCGGCCUGAGAGGGUGUACGGCCACAAUGGGGCUGGGAUACGGCCCAGACCCCUACGGGGGGGAGCAGGGGGGAAUAAUGCAACAUGGGGGCAAGCCUGAUGCAGCGACGCCGGGGGGGGGAUUACGGCCUUCGGGUUGGAAACUCCUUUCGCUAGGGGCGAAGCGUUUUGUGACGGUACCUGGAGAAGAAGCACCGGCUAACUACGUG
rnacentral:rRNA from 1 species